GCUUUUCUAUAUGGAUAACGCUCUCCGCCGUUGGAGCUAAAUUAAAAAAGGUAGACAAAUAUAAUUGCUACUAUUCUAUUCCGACGUAAACUUCGAAACAAGUUUAAAAACAAAUUAAUAUACCACAAAAUAUGCGUGGAUAAUUUAUUGUGCCAAAAAUAUUAUAAUGGUUUAAUUUCAGUGUAUAUGUAGGAAAGAAGGAGAGAAGAAAUAAAUAUUUGCAUUGCAUUCUGGAUGAGUUUUAAGCACACAAGAAGUCAACAUGGCCGGCUAUUUUUCCAAGGAUCCCUACGGUAAAAGUGAUACUGCUAGUAAUGAGAACACAGACACAAAUGAAGGCAAACUCUUCGUUGGAGGACUAGCAUGGGAUUCAACAGAAGAAUCAAUAAAACAAUACUUCGAAACCUUUGGUCCAGUUGAGUCAGUAAAUCUCAAAAGAAACAAAGAAGAUGCUUCAAAACACAGGGGUUUUGCAUUCGUUAAAUUUACUAAUGGUGCAGAUGCUGAACGAGUACUAUCACAAAAAGAACCCCAUAUUAUUGAUGGGUCCAGGGUUGAUCCAAAAUCCGCAUGUCCUCUUGGAAUUAAACCAGAGCAAAGAACCAAAAAAAUAUUCGUAGGCGGUCUACAAGCUGAAACCACUGAAGAAAAACUCAUGGAAUAUUUUGGACAAUUUGGAGAAAUAAAGAACAAUAUUGAAUUUGCUGUAGACCAUAAUACAAAGAAACGUAGAGGCUUUUGUUUUAUUGAAUUUGCAAGUGAAGGAAUAGUUGAUCGUAUAGUAAAGGAAAAAUUUCACGAAGUCGCUGGUAAAAGGCUUGAAACUAAGCGUGCCUUAACUAAACAACAACAACAAGAAGCUUCUGCUGUUACUGGAUUUGAUGGUUUACGGCGUGGUCGACUUCCAAAUUCAGUGGUGUACGGAGGUAUGCCAAUAGCUGCUGGUGCUACUCCUUACGCUCAACCUGUCAUAUACAUACAUCCUGAUUCACUCUCGACAACCUAUCCACUCUCUGCUGUUGGUAUGACAGGACUAACAGCUUACCCUGGCAUCACUCCAUCUUAUACAUCUGCACUUGAAACUUUGUAUACUCCUUACAGUAGUCGAGAUUCGAGACACGCUAUUUAUCCUGGAUAUUGGCGAUUUCACCCACCCAAUCCUAAAUUACCUCCGCCCACCAAGUCGUCCUAAUAUUUCCCCUUUUUAUAACUAUACCCAAUAAGUAAAGCACAUAAAUAGCGUAAAAAAUAAGUAAGAAAAAUAAUGAUAAUCUUUUUUUAGGUGUAAUAAAUAGUUGACUAUUGUAGCAUAUAUAUGUAACAGUAGAUAUGCUGAUUAAUAACCGAUACGUAACACAUAACAUUUUUAUUUUCAGAUAUUGUAAAAUUUGUCUGUAAAUACGUGUGAAGUGCACGAAGAACCCUGUACAUAGUAUUUUGUUAUUAUUUAUGCACACAGUCAAAUAUGUUGAUAUAUGUAAAUGCUUUUUUUACUGUUUUGUUGUUGUUCUUUGUUUUUAUUCGUUUAAAUACUUUUGUGUUCUUUCCUACUUUUUGUAAAUGAUUUUGUUUUGUUUCUUGUUUCAUGUUUGUUUGUUUUUUGUCCUUGUUUUUUUUAUUGACCAUUUUUAUAUGUUUAAGUGUAAUAUAGCAUAUACAUAUUCUUUUACUAGAGAAUUUUAGUUGGAGAGAAAAAAGAUUUUAUACAACCAAGUUAUUACAUGUUAAUAGUAUCCAACAAUUUGAUAUAUAUACUUCUGAACAUAUAUGCAAUUGAAAAAUGUAGUGAUGCAAUGUGAAAUUAUUUAAGAGCAAAUUUUAUAUAAAAUAUUUGUAUAUAUUUUCUACAUAAUAUUGUACGAGAAGUAAAUUAUGAUUACUGUACCAAAUAACUCUCCCCAUUAAAUACAAAAUUAACUAACGAAAAGAAAAACUAACCCCUCCCGUUUUCUCAUCACGCAAAAUUAAUGUGGACAAACGACAUGAGGAUGCAAGUGUUCUUGCGCGUUGGUCUGUUCUUGUGGUGCCGCGCCCUCGCCACGUGGAGCACCCGUAAGACACGACCCAUACAGGUCUGCUAAGUAUUGAUUUUACCACGUUGAGAACUGGAUGUAAAUAUUUUUUUCUGUCGUGGCGUUGUAAAGUAGGAAGGUUAAAUAAGACGUUGACGCAUUUAUACAAAAUAUGCAUGUGAAGAAAACCAACUUAAGCCUUGAUGGUUUCGCUAUCAUUAUCGCGUCCCGCUAUGUUUAAGAUAAGGUCUCAUAGUGUGGGAUUUGUACAGAGUCUGGAAAAACCUAAUAUACUAAUCUCAUUUUCACAAAUAACUGGACCCGCAAUGAAACAUCAGGGUUUGUGCGUUGUGAUAGGUGAAGCCAAUAAGAUGCUUAUUAUUAGGAUAGCGACGCCUAAAGUCUUCGAAAUAAUCUAAAAUUUCGACCCAAAUAUUGAUUCCUCCUUAAAUCUAAAUUUUUAUCCAAUGUAACUUUUUUCUUCUUUGAAAGUCAUACUCCCCUAAAACAUGAGAUGGUUUUUACUGUUGUCUAAAAUGUCAUCCCUAAUUCUCACUCUUACAAUUGUACAAGUUGAAGCUGUAGCCACCAUUCUGAUUGUAAACAAUCGUGCUACGUUUUCAAGGUUGGAUCUUUAUUAAAUCACGCCAGAAUCUCUCUGAAUUUAAUUGAACACUUUUGUAUCAGUAAAAAUUUCGCACUGUUUAUAAAAAAGGUUUUGUUGUGGUAUAUAAGUUGCACUUUUUUUCUGGCACUUUUCGCAUGGAAUUCAUUUUUAGAAUUCAUCAGACCUUAGUUGGUUAAAACCAAUUUAUUUUAGCUUUGGUCUGUUUUAUGACAUGUAAUAUUGUCUACUUGGAAAGAUGUUCUAAACAUUAAAA